AUGGAGAGACGGAGCCUCACCCAGCCUCUUAGGCGACAGCAGCUUCUCAGGGCCCAGCUCCGCACUCAGCAUGGCCCGGGCCCGGCUCAGCGCCUGACGGAUGCCCUGCAGCUCCUGGGGCUCGGGCCCAGCCCGCACCUGGGUCAGUAGGUCCUGCACCAGCUGGCCCGCGGCUGUGUGUCGGUCCUGCAUCAGUGCUGCCGCAGCCCGGCCCACCUGCCGCUCCGGUGCCAGUAGGGAGCAGAAGGCGGCGCUCAUGGACCGAAGCAGAGGUCGUCGGCGGCCCAGGUGCCCAGUAGUGAAGCUGGACGGGCUGGGGGCUCCAGGAGAGCCCGCGCCUGACUCUCCAGGGCUUUCCAUGGCUGGGAGCUCCUUCGCUUCAGGAAGAGAAUCCAGUCCCAAGGCAAGGCACGCACAUCCCCAAGAUGGGUUUCACCAUGUUGCCCAAGCUGGUCUCGAAAAGAACUCCUGGGCCCGAGCAAUCUACCCGCCUUGGCCUCCCAAAGUGCUGGGACUGUAGAUGUGAGCCACGGAGCCCAGCCCGUUUCUGUUUUCCUAGGGUUCACAUAGCCCAGAGAGACCCAGGACCCCGUAAGAAACUGCUGACAGCUGGAUUUGCCUGGACAUAUUCACAUGACACCAAGCAAC
rnacentral:lncRNA from 1 species